rnacentral:tRNA from 1 species
AAGAUAGAUAGGAUUGCUAAGGAUUUGCUAAGUCUUUUGUUAAAGUUUCGAUGCUUUGUUAUCUUA